rnacentral:lncRNA from 1 species
UUCGAAAGAAAGUAAUAAUUAAUUGUUUUGUUUUUUGCUUGCAGAAAAUGCUAAAUAAAUGAGCCUCAAAAUAGACAAUUAUUUGCCAUACUUUUGUUGUUGUUUUGUUAAUAUUAAUAUUUAAUAUUAUCCUUUGCCGCCAUUACGCUUUUUAUUUCGUAUGAUUUACUGAUAAAAAUUGACUCAACUUUCGAGUGAUUUAUCCUUGAUAAUAGAUUUCAUAAUUGGUUUUCUUUCUGCUGCUGCUUUUAGACAUAUCUAUAAAGAUAUAGGUUGUAUAUAUCAUAUAUAUAUAUAUAUAUAUAUAGUUGUAAUCGGGCACGAGUUUGAUAUGUUUUCGACUUGUGUGUUUAUGCUGUUUGCUGCUUGAUAUUUUCAAUAUUCAAUAUCAGUUGGUUUUUUUUCCCACUAAACUUAACUCCCUCUAUAAGUAUAUUCCCUAUACUAUAUACUUUACCAUAUAUAUUGUAUGCAUAGUAUUACAAAUUUACAGCAAAAUGUCUCUCCCAUGGUCGGUCGUUCAUGUCGCUAUGCCUUUUGUGUGUACUGUACUAAUAUAAUGUCACACCGUACUCUAGUAUUUGAAUGACAUGAGAGAUGCAUAUAUAUUUUGUAUAGUUUUUGGUUUGUUUCAAAAUUUUCACUAAUUUAAAAUUCGUUUCUUCAAAGGUUUUUGCUUUUUAUCUUGUGUGUGUCUGAGUGAAACAAUAAGUGGAUGUUGUUGUUUUGUUUAACGAACAAAAUGUAAAUGUUUUUAUUAUGCAUAAUUAAUACCGUCAAUUGAAAAAGUUUUCUAAGUUAAGGCUACACAAAAUAUAUAUCGUAUAUGUAUGGUAGGGUAGGGGAAUUUGGGGGCGGGAAUACAUAAUAGAUUACACAUAAAUUACUUAGAAAUUAGUAGAUAUUAUUAUUCAUUUAUUUAGGCAAACAUAAGGCAAUCAAUUGGGGUAAGGAUAAAAAUACAUUAUAAGCGAUGGAAAAUUAUAACAAAAAAAUUACAAAUACAAAUACAAUAAAUAUUUAAUUGUUUUAUUUGCUUUUCUGUACUGUCUUUCUAUUACAGCUACUAUUAUGCCAUUUUACUUGGUAAGUAGUUCCAUAAUCUAUUACUAAGCUUAUGUUUUCUUUUCCUUCAAUUGUAUUCUUGUUUCGAUUUCUUUUUUCUUUUUGUUUUUGGUAACUGCUUUACUGCCUUUUUAUGCUUAUAAUGUUUUAAAAAAGUGUUUAAAAACCACAUCAAAACAUAUCGCUUUUAUUGUAAAAGUUUUCUCCAUCUUCAUUAGCUUCUUCCCAUUUAUCCAUCCAUUCUUUAUCGUUUAUCCAUUUGUUACUUCUUUUUGCUGAUAUGUAUCUGUUGUUGUUUUUCCCAUUGUUUUGUUAUGUUUCAAAAAUGUUUUUGAAUAUAUCUAUAUAUAUAAUAUAUAUGUAUAUAUACUAUAUGUGUGGUGUAUAUAUAUUCAUAUAAUGUUCCCAUAAUUCAUAUUGUUUAGUUUAGGUUUUUUUUUCUUUCUUACUUUUCCUUCUUUCAUUUUCCAAUGUCAUUCUUUAGUUUAUUCUGUUUUUACGUUCUAGGUGUGGAUUUCUUUUUUCUUGAUGAUAUCUAAACUAGAAAUCGGAAAUCUAAAUAGCUAUGAAAUUUGUUUUAGUUUCGAAGAAUGUUUGAAAAAUCAAGCCUCUGGGGUUUGUGGGGGGAAUUUGGUGGAACGAUCAAUUCCAUCGCGUUGGUAGGGGGUAUGAAAUUGCACACAAAAUGUACCUUAAAUAUACACACACACACACAUAACACACAAACAUUUUCCAUUGCUUUUCAUUUUGUUUGUUGCAUACUUUUAGGCGCACUCGCCUUUAACCUUUGCAAACACUCUUCCUUUCUCCGUCUUAAAAGCUAAAAAUUAAUUUCGAAAAUAUUUGUUGUUGUUUUACACAUUUUUAGCGUCUAUUAAUUGGUUUUUUGUUUUAAUUCACUUGCUUACUCGUUUAAUUGUAAAUAUUUGUUGUUUAAAUUGUUGGUUUUGAAAGGCGCAAUUUUAUGAUAUGCAUUAGUAUUAUAAUAUAAUUAAACAUUUCUUCUCCUCCUACUCCUCCUUAAACACUAGAACCUUUAACUAAUUUAUUUCCCUUAUAUUUCUGUUUGUUUCUGUCUGUUUCGUGUCUCUGUGUGUGCGUGUGUGUGUUGGUUUUAGGAUUACAGACUUAUAGUUAGAGACUUUUCUGAUGAUAUUUUCCGAUGUUUGAACCAACGCGAUGCUGAGAUGAAAGAAUGAUUUUUGUUUGGGGGGGGGGGGGGGGGGGGGGGGGGAAGGGAAAGACAAGAAA